rnacentral:rRNA from 3 species
GACCCCAGGUCAGGCGGGAUUACCCGCUGAAUUUAAGCAUAUCAAUAA